CGAGUCCUAAUUCCUUUCUGGUUUUCCCAACAAACAAAUCCCCUGACUUGAUCAUGCCAGGAAGCCUUCCAAGCACAGUCAUGAAUGGGAACUGUGCAACAGCUAUUUUCCUUCCAAGUGAAACUAUAGAUAUUGGUGGCUGUGCCUUGUAUGUUCCCAACUUACGCUCUUUGCCUCCUCCCUCUAUCAAUAGCUUCAGGUUCUUGGCAACCACUUGAGCAUGAGCACUUGCAUACAUCCCUUGUUUGAUUUCCUGUCACAUUGAUUAAACAUUCUUGCAUCAAUAAGGAUUGCUUGUAAAGAACCAUGUUAUUGGCACAUCAAAGAUCCUCAUAUUAUUUCCUGGGGGAGAUUAGUCAUCAACUAAUGAAUACUCCACACCAAUGUCAAUGUCAUAGUGACCCAAAAAGAUCCUCAUAUUAUUAGCAGAGUAAGAUAGAAACUAAUAAACAUUAAGCACAUGUUGUUUAAAGAUUUUGGAUCCUUUUCACCUAGCUAAAUUGAUAGGGGAAAAUUAAGGUUCAUGAAUUUGCUUAAAUCAUGUUAACAAAUACUUUAGGCCUGUUUAUAAGUAAAUAGGUAAAAUGAUUUCUUAUUUUUUCAAAGCUCUCUGUAAUUACUAGUAAGUAAAACUUAAGCACAGUUGAACAAACCAGAAAAAAAAAACAAAUAAUUCAUACAGGGAAUGGAUCCUCUUCAGUAGAAAAACAAAUUGACACAACUAUUAACUAAGUGUCAUGAUCUUAGUGUUCCUUUUUUAAACCUCAACUUCAAAAUAGGAAUAUAUUAUAUUGAUAAAAAUCAUUGAAGGGUUAGGGAUUUCAUGGUAGUGGUAAAGUCAAUGCACAGGAUCCAUUCCCCCUAUUUCGUAACCAAUUGACAAUCGUUGACUACGACACACAUGGCAUGUGGAUAAUGCAUAUUAUAGGAUGUGGGGGAAAACUAAGAAAAUAGAAUAUCUUGUUGAAUUUGUUAUAAAUGGUUUGAUUAGGUAGAAAUAUCUAAUGGCAGGGGAAAUGGGGAUAUAAACAUCCUGCUAAAAGCCAAAAAUGACUUGGUUUUGGUUAGUAACACUUACUUGAACAUCUGUAAUAUCUCCAAUUGCAAAAAUGUUGCUCUUGCCCUUCACUCUCAAGUGCUCAUCGACCUUGAUCCUUCCAUCAGCAUCCAAGUCAUUCUUUAGAAGAGUUUCUCUAAUCCAUGUUGAACCAAGUGGUUUCCCUGUGCAUAGAAAAUGAAGAUCUGCUUUUAUAGUCUCUCCAUUUGAAGUUUGAUAUGUCUUAUUUUCUUCAGAAGAGGAGCUCAAAUCGACCGAUUGUUCUAGUUUCACAUCAAUUUUCUUUGAUUUGAGCCACUUUAAAGUCUUGCUUGAAGCUUUUGUCCCAAUGUAUUCAAGCAACCUCGUUCCUUUAUGCACUAUGGUGACCUUCUUAUCAGGAAAAUCAACAGCAAUCUCUGCUGCAAGCUCAACACCAGUUGGACCUCCCCCAACAAUCAAAACUGAACUUGCAGAUUUGAUCUUUGCAUUUUCUGCCAUGGAAAAUCCUCCUCAUAAGUCAAAUGAUAUAAAUACAUUGAAAAUCACUAGCCUCAAAAUCCAAAACAGGCCAUAGCAAUAUUUUAUAUACAAUGGAACUUUGACUAGAAAUACACAACCUAGGCGUUGUUCGGAAGCAUCUAUAAACACUUGUUGGAAAACAAAAAUGAAUUGAACUUCUCUCAUAAGUUAAAAUCACCUUGUGCGCUUAACUUUUAUAGAAGCUCUUUUAUCUAACUUUUCUAAAAGUUGAAGUGCAUAAGUUGAUUUUAACUUACAAGAAAAUUCAAUUCAUUUUAUUUUCUUAUUUUCUCCACUCCUAAAUAUUUAUGAAAAAAGCUCAUCCAAACAAAGUCAUAUACUACUCCUUAUAAUCUAGCCUCGAACUAUUAUAUUCAAACCUACAAAGGGAAAUCAUCUUAAAUUCACAGUAGAUGAAUCAUGAAUCAUGAAAAAUCAAAAGUGAUUGAUAUUCCAUUAAUUUGAAUUUAGAUAUUUCUUUGUUUGCUUUGCUUCAACUUAAAGUCUUACCUCCUUUGUAUUGGUCAAGUCUUUCACUCCUGGUUUUGGGGAUUGGUUCUGUGUGUCCAGUGGCAAUAACAAGAUAGUCAUAGGCAAUCUGCUGGCCAUCUUCAGUCACCACUGCAGUUUCAGUUAUGUUGACAGCACUGGAUACAACAAGGUUACCCUUUUUGAAGUACUCUCUAUGGUUGAUCACUAUCCUUUCAGCAAAAGUUGGCUCAACCAAUCCCCUCAAACUUGCCCAUGGAAUCUCAAAAUAUUCCUUCCUGUGUUCAACACCUCUCAGUCAAUCCAACCACAUACAUAACAAGCUCUUUGUGAGCAAACAGAACAUCAAAUAUUUCUCAAACAAAUUAUCACUCUACAUGAAACAUGAUAAAAUCUUAGUCCUCUCUCAAAUUUUGGGUGUGUUUGAAAAAUGUUCUAAACUUAUUUUUUUGGUCCACCCCAUGUAUCGUUUUUUUAAAGUCAAUCCUGUUCCAGGAACUGUCAUACACUAUAAAUGGACACCUCUUCCUACUGAGCUUAAAUCUUAGUCAUCAAGUUGUGAAGAUUAGCCCCUUCUGUUAGAUUCAAUCCCUAUAGGUAAGGUUAUAAGCUUAUUUUGAACUUACCAAAGCAGAAUAAGCUUUUUCACUUCUAAUAAACUUCUAGAGGUAAUUUAUUAAAAUAAAUUUUCUUUUUAACUUAUUUCAAUAAACUUUAUAAUUAAACUCUUAAGUAACAACUAACAAACACUUAAAUAUUGUUUGAAGUGAACCAUAAAAAUUCAAUUAAACAUAGAAAAGAACAUGAAUUAAACUACAAAGAGACUAUGGUAUAGCAGCUACAAAUAGAGAGAGAGAGAGAGAGAGCUCACGGAUCAAUAAGGGUGACGUUGGCUUGACGUUGUAUAGUUUUUGCAAGGUUGGCACCGGCAACACCACCUCCUAGGAUCACCACUUUCUUCUCCGCCAUUUUUUGUGCUUGAAAUUUUCUCUCUCCCUUGAUUACAAGUUGAAGUUUGCGUUAUAAUAAUGAUUGUUAUGUUCUCACAAGAUAAGGCAUCAACAUAAAUAGAUGUUGUUUCGUACGUCAUUGCAUGUAUCAUCAAAUUAAGUCCAAAUGUCAAAUUUUGAAUUUGGACAUAAAAAAGAUUAAAGCCAAAUGGAAGCUGUAGCUUCUGUCAACUUGGCAGUUCCCACCUUCCCAGUACACAAACCAGAAAGCGGUAUUGUAACUUCUCUCUGU
rnacentral:lncRNA from 1 species